rnacentral:rRNA from 1 species
AACGAACGCUGGCGGCAGGCCUAACACAUGCAAGUCGAGCGAAGCCUUCGGGCUUAGCGGCGGACGGGUGAGUAACGCGUGGGAACGUGCCCUUUGCUACGGAAUAGCCCCGGGAAACUGGGAGUAAUACCGUAUGUGCCCUUCGGGGGAAAGAUUUAUCGGCAAAGGAUCGGCCCGCGUUGGAUUAGGUAGUUGGUGGGGUAAUGGCCUACCAAGCCGACGAUCCAUAGCUGGUUUGAGAGGAUGAUCAGCCACACUGGGACUGAGACACGGCCCAGACUCCUACGGGAGGCAGCAGUGGGGAAUCUUAGACAAUGGGGGAAACCCUGAUCUAGCCAUGCCGCGUGAUCGAUGAAGGCCUUAGGGUUGUAAAGAUCUUUCAGUGGGGAAGAUAAUGACUGUACCCACAGAAAAAGCCCCGGCUAACUCCGUGCCAGCCGCCGCGGUAAAAC